GCCAGCGUGGCAUAGUGGUUUGAGUGCUGGACUGUGAUUCUAGAGACCUGGGUUCAAAUCCCUGCUCAGCCA